rnacentral:tRNA from 5 species
GCCCGGUUAGCUCAAUGGCUAGAGCGUCCGACUUUUAAUCGGAAGGUUGCGAGUUCGACCCUCGCAUCGGGCG